UCUCACCUGAGAUGCCAGUCAUCUGCCAUUUUGAACCUACAAUUACUUUAAACGGGACUCUCAUAUUGCUGUGUCGAUGUCAGGCCUUCCGUGCUCUUGCACCGGCAGAGGAAGAUUGAAGCACAUGCUGCGGACACCCACCUGGCAUGCGUGCUAGGAGUCAAAAUGCAGGUUCGGCGUUUCAGGUUUUUU
rnacentral:other from 2 species